rnacentral:rRNA from 1 species
GACGAACGCUGGCGGCGUGCUUAACACAUGCAAGUCGAACGGUAAGGCCCUUCGGGGUACACGAGUGGCGAACGGGUGAGUAACACGUGGGUGAUCUGCCCUGCACUUCGGGAUAAGCCUGGGAAACUGGGUCUAAUACCGGAUAGGACUCCGGACUGCAUGGUCUGGGGUGGAAAGCUUUUGCGGUGUGGGAUGGGCCCGCGGCCUAUCAGCUUGUUGGUGGGGUGAUGGCCUACCAAGGCGGCGACGGGUAGCCGGCCUGAGGGGGUGACCGGCCACACUGGGACUGAGCUACGGCCCAGACUCCUACGGGAGGCAGCAGUGGGGAAUAUUGCACAAUGGGCGCAAGCCUGAUGCAGCGACGCCGCGUGAGGGAUGACGGCCUUCGGGUUGUAAACCUCUUUCAGCACCGACGAAGCGCAAGUGACGGUAGGUGCAGAAGAAGGACCGGCCAACUACGUGCCAGCCGCCGCCGUAA